rnacentral:rRNA from 1 species
UACGUAGGGUGCAAGCGUUAAUCGGAAUUACUGGGCGUAAAGCGUGCGCAGGCGGUUAUGUAAGACAGAUGUGAAAUCCCCGGGCUUAACCUGGGAAUUGCAUUAGUGACUGCAUAGCUAGAGUGCGGCAGAGGGGGAUGGAAUUCCGCGUGUAGCAGUGAAAUGCGUAGAUAUGCGGAGGAACACCGAUGGCGAAGGCAAUCCCCUGGGCCUGCACUGACGCUCAUGCACGAAAGCGUGGGGAGCAAACAGG